UUCACAAGGCCUUUUAUAUCUUCUUGAUCUCUCCAUUUGUUUUCCCGGCAAUUGGCAUGAGCCCUGUAGCUCCCAGCAGUUCUGCAAGGACUCAGCCCGACAGCCUUCUGGGACUUCCCUGAUUACUAUUCUUCCGUGCUGUCACCAUCGACUGUUCCUCUCACGCCACUCUGAGCUCUGAUGAAGCCAUGAAGACACCCAUCUCCUGCUCUAAGUCUACCUGCAGGUCUGCCGGGACUAAGCAGUUCUUCCAGGAGCCAGCAGGCUUGGGGGUCUGCAGCCAGAUCCCUGUGGCUAUCUCAUUCCCUGUGAGGGGCUGCCCCUUGGAUCAGGACUCUAAACAGUGACUCCGAGAGUUGCUAUUUUCAAGAUAGGGAGAACAGUGGAAAAUCAGACUGCAGGCCCAGGCUGUUGGCACCUGAAAUUCUCUCCCUCCCUGGAUCUACUAUUUCAGCAACAAGGACAGUGAGCUAAUGCAAAUCUAACCAGCUUUCUCCCCACUUAGCCCUCGGGACAAGCAGGAUGGACUGUACCCCCUCUUUGGGGACAGGAAGUGGGCAGUUAUAAGAAUUCAGCUCCAUCAUAAAUGAAGAAAGAAUCCCAAGGCAUACUUCAGUGGUCAUUUCCAAAUAAAAUCGAUUUCGUUUGACUAUGUCCUUAAAAGAGGGGAAGUGAGAACCACCCCAGUGUUGGCAACAGGGAGUUGCUUUACAGAACAAGAUCUAAUCAUCUUCCUUGAACUCGGGCGAGCCACAUUUCCUAGGCCACACUUUAGAUGCUUCAGCCAGCAGACUUCUUACAAAUGAGGAGGGUCGUCUGAACUGAAGAAUAACUCGUUGGAGCAGGAACACUGAGUUCAGGGUGGACCUCCCCAGACAUGGCUGUGUGGGUUGGAGUAAGGAAGAGAAUCAGAAAAGAAAGUCCUGCUGGUGCUUCAGAGCAGAUCCACCAGGCCCUGGUCCAGCCUUUGUUAUCAUUUGCACACAGGAGACAGUGAUGUUGAGUUCUUGGAUGAGCACUGGGGGCCUAUGGGAAAAUAUUGCCAGUAUCAUGGAGAUCAAAAACACAAUGCUGUAGAUAAGAAGGGCAGGGUGACUGCAGAGUCCUCAGAUUCAAACUAUCUGCAGCUGGCAAAGAGCUCCUCUCAGAGUCCGCAGGAAGCAAAUAGUCCGCUGCUGUGGACCAUCUGAAUCAGUCCCACAUUCUACACCUGCAACCAAAACAAAAUUUUACUAGAGAGCCUUCAUAGUCUAGAGUGAAUAACAUGCUCCCUCUUCAACCAAUCAGCAAGAACACGAAAGUCAUUGGCAUUGGUGUUGUGACUUGACCAGCAAAGGGUUAGGAAAGUGCAGCAAAUGCAGAGCAUUGUGGGAAAGACAGGCUCACAUGUGCUGUAGCAAACCAGGGCAAUGCAGGUGGGCACUGAUUCUGGAAAACACAGAGGCCCAAAGGAACAUUGCACAACUCCUCAGGGCACAGCCCUCCACGGAACAGGACUGGAAGGCUGUCUGGGAGAAGCCUAGAUAAGAUAAGAAUAAAAAGAAGAUGAUGUAAGGCACAAAUUCUAUGUUUAUGUGAUGUUUUAUUAAUCUAUUAAUAUAAAUAUUGUAUUUGGAUUAUAAUAAAAGGAUGAACUAAAGAAAAUAAAUGUUAUCUAAGGAAAUACCACUUGUCUCGCUCAUAUCCAGGUUCUAGUCUGGAACACAUACAUGCACAGGUGUGAAUGAAUGUAAAGGCUAAAGAUGUAGAAGGGAGGCCAGGAGAGUGGAAUAUUAGUUGAUGAGGAAGGAUGGUGUUUUGUUUAAAAACCCAUGAGCUGUGAAGAAGCACAUGCUUCCCCACUCUAGUUUCAACUCCGUCACCAUCACCAUUGUCCCACCCCACCUACAGAGAUACAUGAAUUAAAGUAGCAAGAACCACUUUUGCAUUCAAAAAGAAUCCAACGCAUAUUACUCUUAGGAACAGUGAUUGUGAAAAUGG